rnacentral:lncRNA from 1 species
CGCAGGAAGUGACAUUUCUGUUGACUAAUGUUCAGGUUAACAGCGGUGAAGCUCAAGUGUUUCACAGCUUUCAGAUUUGCACACAGGAUGGCUGGAAUUGUUCACAUUGUCACGAGGCUGCUGCUGUUGCUGCUGCUAUCUUUUAUCAUGACAGGUAAAUUAAACAUUAACCCAAUCUUAUCUCGUGAUAGUUUCAAAAUCUCAUCUGGGACAUCGAGUAGAAAAUCUGAUCCUCUUUAUCUUCCUCUCCAGGUCUAAAUGGAGAAGAUGGUCUGAUAUUUGCUGGACGAGCUUAUGAUAAUGCAUCUCCGUGUGAGGAAGGUUUAGUCUGCUUUCCUAUAAGGAGGAUCAGCACAAGCCGAACAAAUGAUUACAUUACCAUAGUCAGUAAUGUAGAGACAGCUAUAUCAGAGGACGAGGACUUAAAAUGCACUCUAGAUGUUGGACGUCAUCCCUGCCAGCGAAGGCCAGAUGUCUUCUCUCCUCACAACACCAUCCCAGAGUUAAUCCUCAUGCCUGGCAAAACAGUGUCAUUGCGGUGUGUUAUGCUCGCCUACGUGGAGAAGCAACAUUGCUAUUCACAGCGUUGGACGGUCAGGCUGACAUGGGUGGAUGAAGCCGGCACUAACAUAGAAGAGGACUCACAACACCAGAUAAUACAGGAGUCUUAUUGUGAUAUAACUCUGACCGUCACCCUUCAAAGUCCUGGAAACAAGAAAGUUUAGGUGCCAGGCGAGCACGACUAAACAAGUCCUGACUUCAGUGGAGUUGGGGGUCCGAGUCCCAGGUCUGUACGAUUGAUCCUAAUCAUUAAACUCCUAGGUGUUAAAUGCAAACAAUUGAUCGUAACAAAUGUUAUAUUCUUUGUAGCUCCUAAUGGGAGGGGAAGAGGACUCAUCAUAGAACCUGAAAAUCAAGGUACAGCAUUAUUCUCAUAUACAAAUUAACCUUUUUGUAAAGCCAUGCUCAGUUCCCAGUGAACAUCCCCCAAUAUGUAGCCUAAAUGUACAGUCACACCAAGACAGGUAGACAUUUUUAUUAAUACUCCAUCUAAUUCUUUUUUAAUCUACGUUAGGGUUAAUAUUAUCUGGAUUAUUGUGGAAUGCACUGCACAGUUUGCGUACGCUAUUGAGUUGCCAAAACACAAAGGGACACAGAAU